rnacentral:rRNA from 2 species
AAGUCGAACGGAGAGUAGAUUAACUUUAUGUUGAUUUAUGAUUAGUGGCGAACCGGUGAGUAACGCGUGAGCAACCUACCCUGCACAGGGGGAUAACAUCGGGAAACUGAUGCUAAUACCGCAUAUAAUUAAAAUAAUGCAUAUUAUAUUAAUGAAAACUGAGGUGGUGCAGGAUGGGCUCGCGUCCCAUUAGCUAGUUGGUAAGGUAAAAGCUUACCAAGGCGACGAUGGGUAGCCGACUUGAGAGGGUGAUCGGCCACAUUGGGACUGAGAUACGGCCCAGACUCCUACGGGAGGCAGCAGUGGGGGAUAUUGCACAAUGGGGGGAACCCUGAUGCAGCAACGCCGCGUGAGUGAAGAAGGCAUUCGUGUCGUAAAACUCUGUCAUUCGGGAAUAACAAAAUGAUAGUACCGAAUGAGGAAGCCCCGGCUAACUACGUGCCAGCAGCCGCGGUAAUACGUAGGGGGCGAGCGUUGUCCGGAAUUACUGGGCGUAAAGGGUGCGUAGGCGGCUUGAUAAGUCAGAUGUGAAAUGCUGGGGCUCAACCCCAGAGGUGCAUUUGAAACUGUUAAGCUUGAGUGCAGGAGAGGAAAGCGGAAUUCCUGGUGUAGCGGUGGAAUGCGUAGAGAUCAGGAGGAACACCGGUGGCGAAGGCGGCUUUCUGGACUGC